rnacentral:rRNA from 1 species
CUGGUUCUCCCCGAAAGCUAUUUAGGUAGCGCCUCGUGAAUUCAUCUCCGGGGGUAGAGCACUGUUUCGGCUAGGGGGCCAUCCCGGCUUACCAACCCGAUGCAAACUGCGAAUACCGGAGAAUGUUAUCACGGGAGACACACGGCGGGUGCUAACGUCCGUCGUGAAGAGGGAAACAACCCAGACCGCCAGCUAAGGUCCCAAAGUCAUGGUUAAGUGGGAAACGAUGUGGGAAGGCCCAGACAGCCAGGAUGUUGGCUUAGAAGCAGCCAUCAUUUAAAGAAAGCGUAAUAGCUCACUGGUCGAGUCGGCCUGCGCG